rnacentral:rRNA from 1 species
UGGGGAAUUUUGGACAAUGGGGGAAACCCUGAUCCAGCCAUCCCGCGUGUGCGAUGAAGGCCUUCGGGUUGUAAAGCACUUUUUGCAGGAAAGAAACGUCGCGGGUUAAUACCCCGCGAAACUGACGGUACCUGCAGAAUAAGCACCGGCUAACUACGUGCCAGCAGCCGCGGUAAUACGUAGGGUGCAAGCGUUAAUCGGAAUUACUGGGCGUAAAGCGUGCGCAGGCGGUUCGGAAAGAAAGAUGUGAAAUCCCAGAGCUUAACUUUGGAACUGCAUUUUUAACUACCGGGCUAGAGUGUAUCAGAGGGAGGUGGAAUUCCGCGUGUAGCAGUGAAAUGCGUAGAUAUGCGGAGGAACACCGAUGGCGAAGGCAGCCUCCUGGGAUAACACUGACGCUCAUGCACGAAAGCGUGGGGAGCAAACAGGAUUAGAUACCCUGGUAGUCCACGCCCUAAACGAUGUCAACUAGCUGUUGGGGCCUUCGGGCCUUGGUAGCGCAGCUAACGCGUGAAGUUGACCGCCUGGGGAGUACGGUCGCAAGAUUAAAACUCAAAGGAAUU